rnacentral:rRNA from 2 species
AUACCCUGGUAGUCCAUGCCGUAAACGAUGAAUGCUAGGUGUUGGAGGGUUUCCGCCCUUCAGUGCCGCAGCUAACGCAUUAAGCAUUCCGCCUGGGGAGUACGACCGCAAGGUUGAAACUCAAAGGAAUUGACGGGGGCCCGCACAAGCGGUGGAGCAUGUGGUUUAAUUCGAAGCAACGCGAAGAACCUUACCAGGUCUUGACAUCUUUUGAUCACCUGAGAGAUCAGGUUUCCCCUUCGGGGGCAAAAUGACAGGUGGUGCAUGGUUGUCGUCAGCUCGUGUCGUGAGAUGUUGGGUUAAGUCCCGCAACGAGCGCAACCCUUAUGACUAGUUGCCAGCAUUUAGUUGGGCACUCUAGUAAGACUGCCGGUGACAAACCGGAGGAAGGUGGGGAUGACGUCAAAUCAUCAUGCCCCUUAUGACCUGGGCUACACACGUGCUACAAA